rnacentral:lncRNA from 1 species
UUCUAGCUAUCUGCAACAUGUGUUUUUAUAGUUUGUCUUAAUUUGUAUGACUUUUUAGCUCACCCGACCUGAAGGGCCAAGUGAGCUAUUUUAAUCACUUGAUGUCUGUUGUCUGUCCACAUUAACUUUUUUAUACGACCGCAAAUUUUGAAAAAAUUUUCGUCGUAUAUUGCUAUCACGUUGGCGUCUGCGUCGUCGUCGUCGUCGUCGUCCGGCGUCCGAAUACUUUUAGUUUUCGCACUCUAACUUUAGUAAAAGUGAAUAGAAAUCUAUGAAAUUUUAACACAAGGUUUAUGACCAUAAAAGGAAGGUUGGUAUUGAUUUUGGGAGUUUUGGUCCCAACAUUUUAGGAAUAAGGGGCCAAAAAGGGCCCAAAUAAGCAUUUUCUUGGUUUUCGCACCAUAACUUUAGUUUAAGUUAAUAGAAAUCUAUGAAAUUUUGACGCAAGGUUUAUGACCACAAAAGAAAGAUUGGGAUUGAUUUUGGGAGUUUUGGUUUCAAUAGUUUAGGAAUAAGGGGCCAAUAAAGGGCCCAAAUAAGCAUUUUUCUUGGUUUUUGCACAAUAACCUUAGGUUAAGUAAAUGGAAAUCUAUGAAAUUUAAACACAAUGUUUAUGACCACAA